GAUGAACGCUAGCGGCAGGCCUAAUACAUGCAAGUCGAACGAUAGAAGAGAGCUUGCUCUCUUCGAAAGUGGCGCACGGGUGCGUAACGCGUAUGCAACCUACCUUAAUCAGGGGGAUAGCCCGAAGAAAUUCGGAUUAACACCGCAUAAAAUCACAGUACAGCAUUGUACAAUGAUCAAAUAUUUAUAGGAUUAAGAUGGGCAUGCGUGACAUUAGCUAGUUGGCGGGGUAACGGCCCACCAAGGCGACGAUGUCUAGGGGAUCUGAGAGGAUGACCCACCACACUGGUACUGAGACACGGACCAGACUCCUACGGGAGGCAGCAGUAAGGACUAUUGGUCAAUGGAGGCAACUCUGAACCAGCCAUGCCGCGUGCAGGAAGACGGCCCUCUGGGUUGUAAACUGCUUUUAUUCGGGAAUAAACCUCAUUACGUGUAGUGAGCUGAAUGUACCGAAGGAAUAAGGAUCGGCUAACUCCGUGCCAGCCGCCGCAGUAA
rnacentral:rRNA from 1 species